GCAAGAGUACAGGCAAAGUAAGACACUAGGGAUCAGCCACCUGGCCAUUAAGCCACGCAGCCAGCCCCACAGUAAGAGUGAAAGUAAGAUUUACAGAAGUAAGAGAAACGUCAAAGUCCAGAGCAAAAGUUAGAGAGAUAAGUUAAGAAAAGCUGGCUAGCAACAAGCCAAGCAAAGGUCAGACAUUCAUAAGCAAGAGUAAGCCUCCGUGUCAUGAUUUAGGAGCUGAGUGGCAGGCCCACCAAAGAGUAAAGAACAAACAACACACGUGCUCACUCAGGAGGAUGGCACUGAAGACCAGAGGUAAAUACUGAGUAGUCAUUGAGCAAAUGUUUGCUGACAGACUUACAAGAUGACUUUUUGUUGAAAACUCUGCUACAUGACCUAUGACUUAGAUUUGGUACUUUCUUUCCCUGGAAAACACAUCUGACAACAAAGCUGAGUUGUGAAGGUCAUCAUCAUAAAACAGCCUGGAGGAAAUCUGCAGUCUACAGUCAUUAGGAAGCCCUCCCUGGAAACCCUUCACUAAGAGAGGAGAUGGGAAAAUGAAAGAACCAUCAAGUAGCUCCAUUGUCUCUGUGGAUGUGAGUGCAGGCUACAAUGAUUCAUCUAUGUUAUAGCUCCUUUUACAAGAUAGGAACUUCAAAGCUCUUACCAAAUUUCUGCCAUUCACCUAGAUUUAUAACUAACUUUAGUUCUGUGGAAAGACAACACAAUUGCUAGAAAAAUAGCUUUAAAAUAACCUAUGGGCAAGUCGGGUCUUUGUGAGAUCCGGAAAACAAAUACAGUAGAUUUACAAGUUCGUUAUAAAGACAACAAUGUGAGAACAUGCCAUGCUAAAAGAAGGCUUCUUCAGGUAUUUUGUAUAUGUCUUUUAUUUUUAAUUAAAGGUCAUUGCUUGCUAAUGAUGCGGAGGAGAGGUGUUAGAAUACUGAGCUCUCAAAGAUAGUGAUCAAAGUCUUUUCACUCCGCUUUGUUUUAAUAUUAUUAUUAAGCUGCUAAUUUGGUGGAGGUGAUCAUUAGCGUUUUAAUGCGAAGCAAAAGCUUCGGGACAAGAACUUCUGGUUGAAGAUCAAGAUGAGAGAAACUGGUUCAGUUAUGGCCUUAAUAAUUGUAACCGUGGGGAGCCUGGCAGAGCCCGUUUUAUGAAUUAAUAUAAUAUACAAUCCACCAGGUACAAAUGGAGAGGACAAACAAAGGAGAAUUGCAAGCAGCGGCUAUACUGGGACUGUGUGGCUGUGAGGGAGUUGCUUGACAAAUGUAGGUUGAUUCAAAGUGGGCACCAGUACAGUACCGCAGAUUCCUUUUCCAACAGGAGACUGCAGAGCUGAGGGCCAAAUGGGUAGGGAAUUCAACCCAGAAGAAUAAAACUGGGAAAGACCUUUUGGAAUGCAACUAAUUUUACAUACUCCAUUAUCCUAUAAUGUUCCUUGUGGGAUUUUCUUUUCUUUAAGUGGAUUAAAUCAAACACAGAGUUGUUGUUUUUGUGUGUUCUGCUCCUGAGAUAUAACAACUCUUAGACAGAAGUUAUAAACAAUUUGGUCUAGGGUCUGCUACCUAUCUACCGAGGAAAUAAUAUGCCACUAACCUUUUCUGAUUAGCAACAUGUAUCAUUUUAUCCUGGAGCAAACUAUAAGUGGGAAAAUUCAGGUUUGAAAAUGUCCAUUCAAUUCACUGCAGACAAAACAAGUGUGUGCGUGUGUGUGUGUGUGUGUGUGUGUGUGUGUGUGUGCCUUAUCUCUACAAUCUGUGGACGGCUUGUUUUUACCUCUGCCCUGAUGCUUGCACUUUGAUUCUAUCUUUGAACAUUUAUUUUGCAUGUUGCCACCAAGUGUCAUUUUCUGGUCAGUUUGGACAUUUUCCCUUCCUCUCAUAUGGCAAUGACUAAGUGAGUCUCUUAAACAAGAAUUGAUAAUUUCUAUGGAAACGUUAAAAGUUUUGAGUUUUCCUGUAACAAGGGAGAAAAAAACAAAAUUUAAAACAUUAGAUAUUUCUAAUAGUAUUACUACAUACACACAUGUAUAUCAAAGCACACAGAUUCAUAUAGAUAAAUACUAUUAUAUAUCCAUGAAUAGUCACUCUUCUGUAACUGUAUGUCUUAAUGGGAUUUUGGCGGUUUCUGCAGCACCAAUCACCAAAUGUUUGUGACUGGCAUCAAAAUGCAUCUCCAAUGCAUAUGGACACAAGUACAGGAAGCUCCUAUCUCACAUACUUGUUUGUCAAUUUCUAACUUUCACUUUGAUGCAUUCCUGGAAACUCAUAAGUUCUUGUCAUCUUAACUGAGGAUUCCCGGUGAUGCUCUGUUCUCCCCAGUUCAGGGAUAGGCACAAUCAUCCAUCCAUUUUCUCCCCAAUCAUAAUAUUUAAAAGCCCUCCCCCUCUCUUUCUGAUAGCCAAUCCUUUUCUAUUUUUUCUUUGUCAUUGAACAUUGACAUUGACUAUAUUCUUUAAUUUGACUCCAUCUGUCUCUACUCCACCAACCUAGGACAAGCUACCAUGAUUUACUAUGUAGAGACUCUGAUAGAGUGCCACAUAGGCCCCUGUGUUUCUACCUUUUUUUCUAACUCUUCUCUCCUUCAGCAGAGGGACUUAAUCAGCUUAGAAUCCUUCAGUGACCUCUAAUUGUGCAUCAAUGAUAAAGCUGAAACUAACAGUAGACUCCAAAGGUCUUGACAAUCUAAGGAAUGCCACCACUUCAAUAUUUACUCAUGGAUGUUUAUCUUAGUACUUACAUCUACCCAACAUUAUUUUAUUUACAUUAGGUAAUUACCCUGUAUAAGUUCCCCAAUUUUCACAGAAACUAAAUGUGAAUGUGUGAUACAUUUCUGAACCAUAAGGCUGGUAGAGAUCACUAAACAGGUUUUGUUUUUAUUUCUUGUCCCUUUCUUCUCUUCAUCCUUGUUUAUUUAAGUAGGUUCAACUUGCACAUGGACCUUUUCCUUUUGCAUGUCGUUCCUGGCAUGUAGCAAAAAACUAAAGCCUGAAAGUAAAACAGCCACCUGCUGGCCACAAAAACAGAAGCAAUAGGAAAUGAGCUACAUUUGAAAAAUAGUGAGCAGAAAGAGGGCAAAGACUCAUGUCUUUGACAAGUUUUAUCCUGGGACUAAAAUUAAUUAGGAGACAGAAAGAGAAACAGAAAGAGAGAGAGAGAGAGAGAGAGAGAGAGAGAGAGAGAGAGCAAACAAUUCAUGUACACACAAAAUGUUAGUUUUUAAUCCUCUAUGUCCACUCUUCCAGUACAUAGAACUAAAUACAAACUUCAGUGCUUAUAAAAGGGCAUAAUACUAUU